UUGGUUUGUUCUAAGUCAAACUUGUCUAUCUUUAACUAAGUUUGUAAAAAAAUAUAACAACAACUAUACUACCAAAUAUAUAUACUAUCAAAAUACAUUCUAUGGUAAAUUCAAUGAAAUAAAUUUGGUAUUAUAGAUGUUGUAAAUUUUUCUAUAGACAUGGUCAAACAUGGACAAGUUUGACUAAGAACAAAUCAAA
rnacentral:pre_miRNA from 1 species